rnacentral:rRNA from 1 species
GCUAAACGCGAAGAACCUUACCAAGGCUUGACAUACACGAGAACACCCUGGAAACAGGGGACUCUUUGGACACUCGUGAACAGGUGGUGCAUGGUUGUCGUCAGCUCGUGUCGUGAGAUGUUGGGUUAAGUCCCGCAACGAGCGCAACCCUCGUUCUAUGUUGCCAGCGCGUAAUGGCGGGGACUCAUAGGAGACUGCCGGGGUCAACUCGGAGGAAGGUGGGGAUGACGUCAAAUCAUCAUGCCCCUUAUGUCUUGGGCUUCACGCAUGCUACAAUGGCCGGUACAAAGGGCUGCAAUACCGCAAGGUGGAGCGAAUCCCAAAAAGCCGGUCUCAGUUCGGAUUGAGGUCUGCAACUCGACCUCAUGAAGUCGGAGUCGCUAGUAAUCGCAGAUCAGCAACGCUGCGGUGAAUACGUUCCCGGGUCUUGUACACACCG